GAUGAACGCUGGCGGCGUGCUUAACACAUGCAAGUCGAACGAUGAAGCCCAGCUUGCUGGGUGGAUUAGUGGCGAACGGGUGAGUAACACGUGAGUAACCUGCCCUUAACUCUGGGAUAAGCCUGGGAAACUGGGUCUAAUACCGGAUAGGAGCGUCCACCGCAUGGUGGGUGUUGGAAAGAUUUAUCGGUUUUGGAUGGACUCGCGGCCUAUCAGCUUGUUGGUGAGGUAAUGGCUCACCAAGGCGACGACGGGAAGCCGGCCUGAGAGGGUGACCGGCCACACUGGGACUGAGACACGGCCCAGACUCCUACGGGAGGCAGCAGUGGGGAAUAUUGCACAAUGGGCGCAAGCCUGAUGCAGCGACGCCGCGUGAGGGAUGACGGCCUUCGGGUUGUAAACCUCUUUCAGUAGGGAAGAAGCGAAAGUGACGGUACCUGCAGAAGAAGCACCGGCUAACUACGUG
rnacentral:rRNA from 1 species